GAAAAGAGAGAGCGACCUACGCAUGGAGAUCUUUUGAGCGAUCGAGACGACACGAAGAGAGAGAGAGAGAGAGAGAGAGAGAGAGAGAGAGAGAGAGAGAGGGUCGAAGAGGUGGACGGAGACAUGGCGACGGAGCGAGAGAAGGAGAGGGAAGCGGAGCUCGAGAGCGCUAUGUACACCAAUUGCCUCCUCCUCGGCCUCGAUCCGGCCGUCCUCGGCAUGGGCACCGGCAGCCCCAGGGUGGGGCAUUUUCGCCAUUCCAAUCCAAAGUUGGGAGAGCAGCUACUAUACUUCCUUCUCUGCGCCCUCCGCGGCUCCGCCAAGGAUUUUGAUAAGGUUUGGCCUAUCUUUGAUUCUGCCCAAUCUCGUGACUUCCGAAAGAUCGUGCAAGGGAUUAUUAUUGAGCUAGAGUCGCAAGGGGUGCUGCCGCGGAGUAAUUCUAGGGUUUCAUCUCUCGCAACUUGUUGUGGGCCAAGAUUUGUUGAGCUUCUGUGGCAACUUUCUGUGCAUGCCUUGCGAGAGGUUCAUGUACGAACAUUUGCUGCUGAUGUGGCUUCUAAUCCUCUGCCUCCUGCACUGACAGAUGCUUCUUAUCAACAUGCUGCUGCAUUGCUUCCAGUGACUAAGGCUAGAAUAGCUCUUGAGAGACAGAGAUUUCUGAAAAAUGCAAAUGCUGCUGUUCAUAGACAAACUACUUGGUCAAACUUAGCCCAUGAAAUGACUGCCGAGUUCCGUGGUCUAUGUGCUGAAGAGGCCUAUUUGCAACAAGAGUUGGAAAAACUGCAGGACAUAAGAAGUAAAGUUAAAACGGAAGGUGAAUUGUGUGAUGAUCAUGUCUCCAGUUUUUCUGGGCAGAACUCGCACUUGGUAGCCAAGGCUACUUGCCUUUGGGAGACGUUACUAGCUCGGAGGGAUCAACAUGAGGUUUUAGCUUCUGGCCCAAUUGAGGAUUUGAUAGCCCAUCGUGAGCACAGGUAUCGCAUCUCUGGUUCAUCUUUGGCUGCAACUAUGGGUCUAAGCUCACAGGUUCCACAUUCAGAUGUACUAUCGGUUGCUUCUGGUGAGAUAUCUUCGCCUAUAGAUAUCCGUGAGCAGAUGGAUUCACCUCAUAAUCAAGGAAUAAGUGAGAGUUUCUCGAAGAUGGUUGACAGAGGUGGAAUAGUUUACCCUACAUUUGAUGUUGCCGAAAUUCUUAGACGUUGGACUCAUGCUUUACAACGUAUUCAUAAACAAUCUCUUUAUUUGGUCAAGGCUAACAAUGGAGAGGGCCCAGAGCUACUUCGUACUUCAUCUGAAAAUGAUGCAAGUGGGCAUGCCGAGUUCUUGGCUACAACUCUUGCAGAACAUCGCCAACAUUUAGUUAGCAUACAGGGACUAAUUAGUCAACUAAAGGAAGCCAUUCCAGCAAUGCAAAAAUCUAUUGCAGAACUCACUGAAGAAGUGGAAAGCGUUUCGUCAUCUACAAUGGAUGGGUUUAAUGCCAGAUCAAUAUUAAGUAUGCAGUCCCAAGUGCCUCAAGAUAUUGUUGCUGAUGAAGUCAUCAAGUUAAAUUCCAGACUCUCAUCUCUUCAGCUUGAGAAUGUUUCCAAAAGCCCUGUUCUAAAACUCCCUCAUUUAAUCAGCCUGGCUCCCAAUUCAUCAGCAAAAAGUAUGCACACACCAAAGUUGACUACUAUAACUGCUCAAUCCAUUCAGGAAUCUUUGCCAGUGGGAACAUCAGCAGAGUCACAGUUUACAAAUGAUUAUAGAGGUGGUGCAGCAAAAGAAAAUGAUGAUUAUGAUGUUCAGAGUAUUAGGCGUUCUGUUCGUGAAGCAGCACUUACAAGACCAUCAAACAACUCAGAAUUGAUAUUAGAAAGUAGCGAAGAUGACAGUUCUGAACACUUCUUCAUGCCUAUAUCUACUGGAGUUUCGGUAAAAGUGGUAGAUAGUGCUCCUGUUCGGAAAAAACAACAAUUAGCCCUUUCUCCACCAGAUAUUCAUGUUCCCAGCAGUUCUAAAGAUUUUCUCAUUAAUACUGAGGGCCAGCUAGAUUCUGUUCCAAUAUCAAAUAAUUUAUAUGGACUUGAUGGACACACGAAUCAGACAGGCUUAAUUCAACCAGCCUUUCUUAAUUCAAGAAAAGCAUAUGCAGAUAUUGAUGAUGCUAUGGAUCAAGUCUUCUCACCUCCUUUGCUAAUGGAAUCAUCAUUCUUCCAAGAUACUUAUGAGGACUUGCUUGCACCACUCUCUGAAACUGAUGCUGCCCUAAUAGAAUAUUAGAGUUUGGGUUUGAAUGCAUACCAAAUGAUCAAAUGGAAGCUGCGUAUCUUGUCGCAAUGGCCCAGUGUACUUUCUGGUCCUUGCUCUCGAGGAUCAACAUGUAUCUAUGCGACGGCAUACCUGCCAACUGCAGCAUAUAAAUGCGUGCUUUUACGACACUGAGGCAGCACUCCAUUCAACUAUGCCAGCUCGCUUACUUCACAAACAUAAAUCUUCUUUGAACGAUGUUCAUCUUUGGAGAGCAUCAAAUUUGGGCCUCAUUUUGUGAGCAUCAUACAUGCUGAAAUAUUACUGUCUCUUCUUUGGAGUAUCAAAAAGAAAAGAGGUAUGUGUUUGCAGAUCAUUUACGUUUUCUUCUGUUUCAAUAGCUCAACUGAGAUCCGUUAGCUUCUUGACUGUCACAUUAGACUUCUUGUUCUAAAUAAAAUAGCAAAUCAAAUUAGCUCAUCAAGGUCUUUGUCUGGAAGACUGCAGGUAUGUAUGGCUGUCAUCGCUUAGAUACUGUUCUUUCUUUCAACUGCUCUAGAAAAAAGUCAAAACAAAAAAGGGCUAUUAGGUAAAAUAUUAAUUAAGCAUCGUGCAAAACAAUAGGGUUGAUAAAUAUUUUGCUAUUAAUAAUCUUAAAAAGUUAGAUUGUUAGGAAAAACUCAAUAUAUAUUAAACUCUAACGUCGACAAAAUAGCUUGGUUUGUAGUGUUAAUUGGUCAGUGGUAUGAUUGCACAAGGCAAUUAAAACUGCAACAAAAGAGCACUUUUGCUUUCCUCUGUGUUGGUGCCAACUGAAACCCAUCUUUCAUUAAUAUCUGCUGAAUUUUCUCCCUUGAUUUCACAUGCUCUCUGUUUCUUCCCAAGUCCAUCAUGUUUCAAGCACUGCACGAGAGAGAGAGAGAGAGAGAGAGAGAGAGAGAGAGAGAUUGCACCUUUUAGUCUCCUUCGGCGGGACCUAAUGGUCUGGAGUCCGACAUCGGACGGGUGCCUAAAGCUCAGCGCAGGGCAGAUCCUUCGUCCCGACUCGAACAGUAUGAGCUCGAAGUCAUGGUCUUCGAACUCAAUGCAGCCUUCCUUCUUCUUGAGCUUUCCUCAUCAGUCCCCCUUUUCGUUCCAACAAUAAGAGAGGAGCCUCUUUGGAUUAGAGAGGGACCGUGAGAACUGCCUCGAUGUUGUCUUUGGCGAGACGAGUGUCAUCGCUCUUCUUGCUCGAGUAGGUUCUCCUCGAUGACCAACUCAUAGAAGACAUCCUCGUCAACCCUAACCAUGGGCAAUCCUGCACUUAAGAUCGCCUGGCUGAGGUUGACAGGACUCUGACGAAGAACGAGCGAUGGUGUCAAGCAGUAGUAGACUGGUCUCUUCUUCCCUUGCAUGGCGGAACGACUGCACCCGUCGUAAGGCGAAAAGCUCACGUCGACGCCAUUGUAGGAGUAGAUGUUGGGGACAACGAGUUGGGGCCUGCAGCAGAAAUCUAGAUCGUGAAUCCCCAUGGGUUCUCUUGCCGUCGCGGAAGACGAAACCACCACUGUUGUGACACAGCCUCCAUAGAGAUAGAUUGAUGUGGAAGCUUACCGAGUUGGCGUAAGUUUCCGACUAGGGGGAGCUAUUUUGUGCCAGGGGAAGCGACAGCCUUCUCCCUUCUCCUCUCUUCUGUUCUUUUGGGCAUCGAGUGAUGAAGAAGCCACGGAGGUAAAAAAAUUGAUAGACCGAGUAAAUUUGGCUAAUCAAUGAGUACUGUUAUUAGUCUUUACAAAUACGUGAAAUAAUUUUUACCAACUAAGUUAAUUGAUAUUUUAUAAUAAAAAAUCAAAUUAUAUUUUGAAUCUAAGUGUUUUAGUAAAUUUGUUAGAUGAGAUUUUAAGCCGUAAAUAGAGAUUUGAUUCGUUACCAUCAAUCCAAUAUUUUAGAUGUAUUUACCAUAAAUUUUCUUAUACUACAGUUUUGUUCUGUUCUCCUUUGGUACAUGAUGUAUAUUAUCAUGCUAGAAAAUAAAAAAAAAGCUGAUUUAUCGAAAAAAAGUCCAUAGUAAUAAAUUUUUACUGGAUGACACCCACAUAUUUUGAUAAUAUCUUUGAACCGAGUUGUUUUAAGUUCAAUCAAUUCGUGAGUCGAUUCGGUUUAAGUCAAGUCGCUUCGGGUCGGAUCCCUUCAAAUUUGAUCGGAUUUUUUUAAAAAAUAUAAUUUUAUAUUUUACAUUCAAGUUACACUCACUUACAAA